CAGAUGAACAGAGGAGGAGUAGGAUAAGGGUACGGCUAAAAGCUAUGAGAAUUGGUCGUCUAUGACGUCCAGAAUAGAGAGUAAAAGGAGCAUGUUUCUGGGGGCGAUAAAAUAGCUUCAAGGUAUAAUGUACAGACAAAGGUAUGAUAGGAUGUGAAUACAGUGGAGGUAAACCUAGGCAUUGAGUGAUGAUGAGAGAGAUAUUGUCUCUAGAAACAUCAUUGAAACCAGAAGAUGUCAUAGCAUGUGUAGGUGGUGGAACUGAAAGGUUGGAUAAGGUAUAAUGAGCAGGGCUAGAGGCUCUACAGUGAAAUAAGCCAAUAAACACUAACCAGAACAGCAAUGGACAAGGCAUAUUGACAUUAAGGAGAGGCAUGCUUAGCCGAGUGAUCAUAAGGGUCCCGUGAGAUUCAGACAGCUAGCCGGGCCAUAGGUAGCAAGCUGGCAGAAGAUGGAGGGAGGUCUGUUUUUAGCCACCUCGUGCGUUUCCGUCUGUAGAUUAGUGGGGUUCCGUGUGGUAGGGGGGACCAGUCCAAUUGGCAAAAUAGUUACCUGGUACCUCUAAAGGUGGUAUUGAGCCAGACAGACAGCUCCUGGUACCUCUCUGUUUCAGCUGUUAUGGUCAGUCUAGCUGUAUGGAGAUGGUACUGCUCUGUUUCAGCUGUUAUGGUCAGUCUAGCUGUAUGGAGAAGGUACUGCUCUGUUUCAGCUGUUAUGGUCAGUCUAGCUGUAUGGAGGAGGUACUGCUCUGUUUCAGCUGUUAUGGUCAGUCUAGCUGUAUGGAGGAGGAGGUACUGCUCUGUUUCAGCUGUUAUGGUCAGUCUAGC
rnacentral:lncRNA from 1 species